UCUGUGUUCAGACGUGUGACGUGAGCCGAGCAGCCUCCACGCUCCAUUACUGCAUGACGGUCAGCGGCACGGUGCUUCUGGUAGCUGGGACACUCUGCUUUGCUUGGUGGAGUGAAGGAGAAGCAGGUGCUCAGCCCGGCCAGCCAGCCCCUCCCACAGGGCAUCCGGUGCCUCAGGCCCCCAGUCCCCUGCUCAGGUCCGUCAGCUUCUUCUGCUGCGGUGCAGGCGGCCUGCUACUACUCUUCGGCUUGCUGUGGUCCAUCAAGGCCAGCACCCGGGGGCCUCCCCGAUGGGACCCAUAUCACCUCUCCAGAGACCUGUACUACCUCACUGUGGAGCCCUCGGAGAAGGAGAGCUACAGGUCAGCAGGGCAGGGUGGAGGUGAUGGGCGGGAGUGGUGGAUAAAGCACUGUCAUCAGCAGAGUCCUGGAGGGGUUUCAAGCCCUUUGACAGACUUUGACAAACCAGGGUAGUUAGAGCUGUCAGAGAGGGACGGACAGGGUCCUGUAGAGACAUGGAGAAAUCCAGGAAGGCUUCGUGGAGGAGGUGGCAAUUGAGCUCAGCAUGGUACAUACAGGGCAGAGUAGCAGAGGGGUUAAGAGCCCAGGCCCAGGGGUAAAUCUCCUGGAAUCCUCUCCUGGUUCUAUCACUAACUAGCAAGUAGGACUUCAAGUAGAUUGUACAACCCUACCGAGCCUCAACUUCCUCAUCUGAAAUAAGACAGGGUAAGAAUAGCACAAUAAUAGCAAAUACCUGCACUUACCAUCUGCGGGACGCUGUUCUAAGUGCUUUUCAUAUAUUUACUCAUUUUGUUUUCCCAGCAGCUCUCUGAAGUAGGGACUGUUAUUAACUCCAUCUAUAGAUGAGGAGCCCAAAGUGCCAAGACAUUAACUAACUUGCCCAAGGACACCCAGCUAACGUGUGUGUGAGUCGGGACUUGAACUGAGUCUGCACCCUCACUGCUCCCUAGCUCAGGGGACAUGGGGGAGAAUCCAAUGGGAUGAUGUCUGUGUAGAACGUAGCCCGGUGCCUGGCACACAGUAGGUGCACAGGAAGUGUCAGCUGUUCCUGAAGUGGAUAAUGUAGAGACACGGUUGGGACGGGCCAAAGAGCAUGUGCAAAGGCUCCGGGGUGGGUUGGGGGUGGAGACAAAAUCUUGCAUUAAGACCGUAUUUCUCAACCUUUUUAAAAUUGUCUCUCCCUCUAAGGAGCCUUUUAGGUAUUUUUUUUCAAUGUUUAUUUAUUUAUUUGUUUGUUUUGAGAGAGAGAGAGAGAGAGAGAGAGAGAGAGCGCGAGCGAGCCGGGGAGAGGCAAAGAGGAAGGGAGAGAGAGAAUCCCAAGCAGGCUCCAGGCCCCAUGCUGUCAGUGCAGAGCCCGACGCGGGGCUGGAACCCGCGAACUGUGAGAUCAUGACCUAAGCCAAGAUCAGGAGUCUGACCCUUAACUGACUGAGCCACCCAGGAGCCCUGGCAUUUUUUUCUUAAUCCCACACCCCCUCCAUGAAAUUUUCAUACCACAGAUAUAUUGCAUAUUUGUCUGCUCUGUAUGUAUCUCUGUAUUAUAUACAUCUACAGAGCAUCACCAAGAUACCAAGAGCUCUUUUUUUUUUUUUUACCUGGGGGAGAAAAUGAUGCAUUAUGUGUGCACUUGUUAAAUAUGUAUUCAUUCAGUCAAACAUGGGCAGUGCCUCCAUAUUGGGCGGCCCGCAUGCAUCCCCAGUCUUGUCUGCCUGCAAGGUAAGAAUUUCUGUUGCCGUUUAUGGAAGAAGAAGGUGAAGGUUACACAGCUAAAAAGUGGCAGAGCCCGCUGGCUGCAAAGCUUGUGUGUGUUAGGGGCUAAGUCAGACACUAGGGAGCUGGCCUGGGACCUGGACACCUUUCUUCCCUUGGGGAGAGGGAAAAACAGUAUUGUGAGUUAAAGAAUGUAACAAAUUCUUCCUGCAACUGGCCUGCGAUUCCCUGGGGUCAGAGACAAUAGAGUAUUCACCAGGGGCCAUUUGGUACAAUGGUCUGGCCUUGGUUUGACCCAACUGUUAGAGAGGGAAGGGCACGGCCUCCAGCCAGUCCCCUCACGUCUCAGAUGAGAAGCCCGGGUCUCAGAGAGACCCAUGACCUACCUGGUCACACAGCGAGGUGGUGGGUGACUGGAGGGGAACCAGGCCACGCUUCAGGGUGCUGCAAAUGUAACCUGUCCCUGCUCGCCCUCCUAGCCUGGCCGGACUGCUGGGGGCGGAUGUUGUCUGUACACACAGCCGUGUUGACUCAACAGGGUCUGGGCCACAGUAGCAUCUGUCAGGUGGGACCAGUUGGAUUUCAUUCCCAGCAGGGCUGCGGAAGAAGCCUGCUCGGGCGGGUGCUCAUGGCCCAUCAGGUUCGGAGACCCAAGUCUUAGGUUCAGAACUAGGAUGGCUGGAUGUCGGGGAGGCUGCUUCUGUUCAUGCCCCUUUCUUGUCCCUGAAAGCUGACACAGUCCAGCCUUGCUGCUGGUGAGCCCCGCAUCUGGCCCCUCUGGUGGCUGGACAGGAGGCCUCCCAGGGCCCCUGUCCUCAGUGAGUAUAGCAGAAAAAGCACAGGUUGGGGCGCCUGGGUGGCUCGGUCGGUUAAGUGUCCGACUUCGGCCCAGGUCAUGAUCUCGCGGUUCGUGAGUUCAAGCCCCGCGUCAGGCUCUGUGCUGAGGGCUCAGAGCCUGGAGCCUGUUUCAGAUUCUGUGUCUCCCUAUCUCUCUCUGACCCUCCCCCGUUCAUGCUCUGUCUCUGUCUCAAAAAUAAAUAAACGUUAAAAAAAAAUUAAAAGAAAAAGCACGGGUCUAUUCAGACGUGAGGGUGUCAGUGUCAGCUCUUUUCUAAGCUGUGCGCCCUUGAGCGUGUUACUUAGACUCUCCGAACCAUAUCUAAUUCUUCAUCUGUCAUGUGGCCAUGCCAGAACUUUCUCCUGAGAUUGCUGUUAGGCUCAGAUGAGGUGAUAGAUGGGGAAGUGUAUGCCUGGCAAAGUUCGUGCACACUUUAGCUUUGCGGCUGCGUAUGACUGUGCCUUACAGCUUGCAGUGCACUCUAGUGCCCGCUGCCUGAUUUGAGUCUCAACGGCUUGGGAGUUAAGUGUUAGGAUUAGGCCUAUUUCAGAGGACGGCACUAAGUGUGGGGAGAUUCAGGGCUGGGAUGGGAAGAAGGGCGAUAGGUGCCAUUGGCUUGAGCUUGGGAAUUAGGACUGGGGGCUCUGCUGCUUGGUUGAUGCUUGGCCUUUACUCAUCUGUACUGUGGCUGAGAGCCGAGCCCCCAGGGUUGUCCUGAACACGUUUAGGGAGCUUACACGUUGGGCAAAUAGUAUUCCGUCCUUGUCCCUUUCUCUUUCCUGACUGUGGUUGCCUGACUCAGCUGAAGGGUGGCAGAGCCGAGGCCAGGCCCAGGCCUCCUGCCCCCCCGGGGCCAGCCUCAGCCUCCCCUGGAACUUGCUGGCCUGGGGACCAGAGCAGCGGGCCCACCCCACACCCCUGCAGGGCGCCGUAUUUAGAAUAUACCACCCGUGUGUGUGUGUGUGUGUGUGUGUGUGUGUGUGUGUGUGUGUGUGAUAUGGCAGCUCUGCAUGGGGCCUCCUGUUCCCCCAGUUCCCAGCCUCUGGACUUGGGGCUGGCUGGGCCAUGCCGGCUACUAAUGUGACAGCAGGUGGCACGAGGGCCACUCCACGUCUGCCCUCUAAGCAAACUUCCUGCUGUGGGGUGAGCUUCCCUGGCAUCUGUGCCCUGCCCUGCCAGCUGUUGCCUGCUGGGGUGGUCCCAGGCAUACCCCAAAUCUGUCUGGCAUCUCCAGGGCUUGGGGAACCAGGGAGUGGCAGGGGUGUGGCUGGGGCACGUGGGAGGGGAGGGAGACAUAGGGCUCUGGAAGCUGUAAUACCCGCAUUUUUCCGAGUGCUGUCAAAGCUUUUUCCAUUUUCCCCUCCCCUGAAUCUAUAAAAUGGGAAUUCUCAUCCCCAUUUUACAGAUGAGGAGAAGGAGGCUCAGAGGGGCCAUGUGAACAAGGCAUGGCACGAGACAGUGGAGUCUAGCCUGCUUGCCUCCAGAAGCAGUAUUCUUUGCCUGCCUUCACGUGCAAAGGAUGCUGGGAGCUGAGGGGAGACUGAGACCCCUUAUCAGCUCCCUCAGUAGCAGGGCUCCUGGGCUGCCUUCCAGAGGAGGAGGGUCUGUGGGAGAGAUGUGUCACAGCACUGGAUGGGGAGCCCAGAUCUGGCUCCUGGCCGGUGCCCUCUAUCAGAUUGGCAUGCAGGCUGGGGGUUAACCCUGAGCUCCCCACCAGCCUACUCCAUGACUCUGUCUAUGACUGGAGCAGCGAGCCUGCCUCCCCAGUGGGUCACUCUGAUGGCUGUGGUUGGCUCGGGCUGAGAAGACACACUGUCCAGAGAAGGGCCAUGUCCCCGGCGGGGGUUGGAUUCUCAAGUGAGGGGUGAGAGCAGGUACCCAGCACUGCCCCCUACCAGCCCCUGGAGUGAAGUUCCCUCCACUACCUCCUCCGACCCCCCCCCCCGCCCCCCGGGGCCAGCCUCCUGCCAUCAGCCCCUCCCCUGUCUACACCGGCAGAACCCAUGGUAUGCAUUGAACUGCUUCCCCACCAGCUCCAGACUGAUAACUCUGGGCAAGCAAUAGCCUGUAUGGCACUUACCGUGCAGGUGAUCUAUGAUAACUUUUGUCCCCCACACCCCUUCCUCGAAGAGACUUUUGAGAUUUUGUUAUCAGCUCCUGUUCACGGAACAUGUGCUAAGUGCCCCUUCCCCUGUAUUAUCUCAAUUAAUCUUCAUAAAGUCCUGGGAGGUAGGUGCCCUUGCUGUCCUCAUUGUAUAGAUGGGGAAACCGAGGCUCAGAUUAAUGGAGUUACUGACCCAUGAUCUACCACCAAGAAUGUGGCAUAGCAGAGAGUUGAACUAGCCACAGCCCAGGCUCAUAACCAGCCCUUCAGUCACUUGGUGCGAGAAGCAACCUUCAAGGUCACUUGGUCAGCUCCUGUAUCUGGCAGGAUCAUCCCCAAAGGGGAAUCAGCUCAGACGUGGGAUCAACGACACUCCUGUCCCCUGGCGUCCUGGGAAGGGAAAGAAGCACCACCUCCCCAGAGGUGACCCACCAGGGUUCUGAGAGGACUGAGGGCCAGCCUCGUUCCCAUCAGCAUUGAGGCUAGAAUACAGGUAACCUGUUUUUUGAAUCUAACCUGUGGGGGCCGGUCACAGAAGCCACAGAGGACCUGGUCUGUGCCUCAAGUCCCUGCGGGGUCAUUCAUUUGUUGGAGGUAGGGCAAGUCACAGGAAAGCCAGGCUGUUUAGAGAUGGAUGUGGUUGACCUGGUAGGUAGUGAGCUCUCCAUCUCUGGAGGUAUGCAAGUGGAAGUAAUCACUUCGCAGACUUGCCAUAUUGGGGCCUCAAGCAUCCAGAUGGGCAGGAGAAUCGAUGUCUCCCAUCCCGCCUGGAGUAUCUACAACUCCGGAUCUUGCAAGGGAUUAUUACAACAAGCUAGAAGUCUUUCUGCCGAUGAGCCAUCCUUCUUUCGACAAACAUCCCCAGGCACCUGCCCUCAGCCCAUGGAUGCUCAAAGUCCAUCCUUGCCCUCAGGGACAACCUAGGGGACCUGGUAGGGUCAAUGCAGUGUCGGGGAAGAGCCCUCUGGGAGCCCAGAGCAGGGAGCGAGAGCUUUGCGCGGAGAGGGGGGACCAGUCAAGAAAGCUUCCCAGAAGAGCCUCAAAGGACAAGUGGGGAUGGGCCAGCAGGGAGGGGGCGGGGGAGGAUGGACCUUCCCGGCAGAGAGAACUGAGGAGUUGCAGCGAGCGAGCGCGUGUGGGGAACUCACAGGAUGGGGCGGGCAGAGUGGGAGGGCUGCGGUUGGCAGAGCUGACUCAUGCCAAGCUCUGAGUGUGUACCUGGGGCCCACAACGGGUUUGGACAGGGCGUGAAGUCUUCCCCAGCCCCGGCCUCCCUUGCUCUUUCCCUGGCGUGCAGUACGUUUGCCCUUGCCCCUGCUACAGCCUCUCUUCUUCUGUCCCGCAGGAUCCCAAAGGCGGUUGGCAUCCCCACUUACGAGGAGGCCGUGGGCUGGCCACUUGCCGAGGGGCCCCCGACGCCACCUGCCGAGGGGCCCCCGACACCCCCUGCGUACCCCGCGGAAGAAAGCCCGAAGGACUGUGCCUCCGGGGAUGCCCUGCGUGGGACCCAGCCCCCCUUGCCACCGCCCAGCUACGAGAGCAUCAUCAGUGCUGUCAACGGCCUCUCU
rnacentral:lncRNA from 1 species